rnacentral:lncRNA from 1 species
GGUAGUUGUGUAUACCAAGUGAAAGCUGAUUCUUUUAGGGAUUGGACAAAUUGACACACUAGGAGAGCGUUUGACUGAGAUGUCUCGCCACAUGCUGAAUAAAAAUGUGCUAGAUGUUCAUGGGGUGAGCUAUUUAUGCCAUCAAAUUUAUCAAAUAUGGGCCAUUGAUAACCCUUUGGGAAUGGUAUGGCGUCAUAGUGAGAAGGGAAGGGUUUUCGAUAUCCUUGAACAGGAGGUGCUAUGGACAAUUAGAACUCACGAAUCCCCUCAGAAAUUAAUGCCUUUAUGUCGUUUGAGGAAAUUGUGCUCGUAGAGCUCUCUGCUUUUUCCUCUUUGUUUGUUGUUCAUGGGUCACCG